rnacentral:piRNA from 1 species
UAGCUCCUUGUGUACUUUCUCUA